rnacentral:rRNA from 1 species
UACGUAGGGUGCAAGCGUUAAUCGGAAUUACUGGGCGUAAAGGGUUUGUAGGCGGUUGAACAAGUCAGAUGUGAAAGCCCGGGGCUUAACCCCGGAAUUGCAUUUGAAACUGUUCAGCUAGAGAGUGUUAGAGGAAAGUGGAAUUCCUAGUGUAGGAGUGAAAUCCGUAGAGAUUAGGAGGAAUAUCGAUGGCGAAGGCAGCUUUCUGGGACAUUUCUGACGCUGAGAAACGAAAGCGUGGGUAGCAAACAGG